rfam:Geosporobacter ferrireducens strain IRF9, complete genome.
AUGAAAUAUGAAUAUAAACCGUAGACAGUAGGUACCCAAUGGGUUUAAAGAAAGCCUGCCGAGGUAAUUUUCUAUAGAUUUAAGGAAAUUAUUGAACCUCUCUAUGUCUACGGCAGAGAGGUUCUGUUAUUUUUAAC